rnacentral:misc_RNA from 1 species
CAAAUCUUUAAUUUCAACAAACAAGGAACGGCAGAAGAUGGUAAUACGACUAUAAAACAUCAAGAUCAGUGUAGUAGUCUAACACUUGAGCACUUGCCCUUUCACGCACACACGCUCCUCGUGCUCAUUCUCUCUCUCUCUCUCUCUAAAACCCUUGAAGUAGCGUUCUCUUCAAUCGACCACCAGCAAAUGGCGAACAGUAAUCUUCCCCGAAGAAUCAUUAAGGAAACUCAACGUCUCCUCAGUGAACCAGCACCGGGAAUAAGUGCUUCACCAUCAGAGGAUAAUAUGCGAUAUUUUAAUGUUAUGAUUCUUGGCCCCACACAGUCUCCAUAUGAAGGUGGGGUUUUCAAGCUGGAAUUAUUUUUGCCUGAAGAAUAUCCGAUGGCUGCACCAAAGGUAUUGUAAUUUUGGGCAUUUCUUCAACUGAUUCUUGGAAAUGAAUCAGUUAUUGCAUUGGCUGUUUAAAAAUGAUUAGGAUGUUUUGCUAGAAUGAAAUGCAUCCUUUAGUAUUGUUGAAGUUCAUUUGGGUUUGCUCCUUUUGUCAUAACGUUGAAUUUGCUUAUUAAUUGAUAUGCAUUAAUAAUAUUGUCCCCCUUGUGCUUCGUUGAGUUUGAAUUGAUGCCUUUGGUUUUCCCUCCUGCCUGGCUCCCAUUUUUUGGUAAAAUUUUAAAUAGUUGGUUGUGAUUAUAGCAAUGUUCAUGAUAAUUCAUGACAAUUAGAUGUACUUUGACAAGAUCAAUUUUAACAUCUGGGGUUGGUUUUUGGCAUUUGGAGUUGGGGAACAUCAUUUUUAGGCUUAGAAAAGAUUGCAGGUGCGUGCUUGGAGGCUUAUCAUGCCUUGUCUUCCUUAUUUACAAAAUCGAAGGUUCCUUAAUUGUACAUUGGAAAUGAAAAGAAAUAAAAUAGAGGAAAAGAAAAGUAGUCUAUUUUCCGUUAUAUUGUUUGGUUAUCUUAUGUGAAGAAGUGGAUAGAAAAAGAACUAAGUUUGUAAAUUCUUUUUUUACUGUUAUACCAUCAUCAUGUAGCCAACUGUGCCUUUAUAAGAAUUCUGAACCCCAAGCUGGCAUAUCUAUUUUCAUUGCAUACACACACACACACACACUAUUGUUGCAUUAAAUGAUGAAAACUAUUAACCUGGAUCCCCAUUAGCAGUAAAUGUUAUGAGAUUCACAAGCAUUCCUUCAAAACCAUUGACAAGAGUAAGAUUCAGUGACUCCAAAUUGUAGUUCUCAGGUUGAUCCACUUAACCCUUCUUUGAGCAUUUGACAACAUUAAGUUUUCAUUAUUAACUAACCAUUCAAGUUUUAUCUCCUGGUAAUGUUUGUGUGUAAAAGAAAUGGAAAUUCCAUAAUAAUUCAUUGGACCUAAAUAUGUAAAUUUGAAGCUUUCCUGUUUGUAAAUGUGUUGAACAUCAUCAGCCUUAAUCUGACCCAUGUGUCUCUACAUAUUAAAAACUUGAAUGAAAUCCUGUGGGACAAUGUGAAGUUUCCAUCUCUAACAAUAACCCUUAAAAUUUCAUGGACAGUUUAACAUUUUAACUCAUAUUUUGCUUCCCAUGGUUGGGGGAAUUGAGACAGGUUGUCCCUUUAAUAUUUGGGAGUACUGCUUGUCCACUGGCGCCUUUUUUUUUUUUCAGUAUCUUGGAAAUAGCAUCAUGUUAUAUGGUCAUAAUUACCAUAUUUACAAGGCUAAUUUGAUUGGGCUUGUAAUGUUUGUAUUUCUGUGCCCAAAAAUAUAAAGAGGCUGAAGAUAACCUUAGUUAUCCCUGAAUGGAUCUGGAUAUUUGAAAUCUAAGGUGAUGUUCAGGCAAAAUUAUCUUUCAAAUCACAGUUUCUAAUAUCAGUUCAGGAGAAAUUACUUAAUAGUACGUUGAAUGUCAUUUACAAUAUUCUAUGUGACUGACUGGGUUAAUGGUCUACUUUUUGAAUUCAACCUGAAUUAGACCUAGUCAAAAUUUCAUGAUCUUCAUAUAUCAACUGCUCAUCCUAAAAUUUUUGUAUUUUACUGAUUUGGGUAUAUUUCAUAAUAUUAUUAUUUUCCCUCUUAC